UAGAAUAUAGUAUAAUGGAAGUAUAGGGAGUUUUGAUCUCUCUGGUAUAG
rnacentral:tRNA from 1 species